GGAUGAAUGUCUGAGUGGUUGAAAGUACCGGUCUUGAAAACCGGCAUAUCUGAGAAGAUAUCGGGGGUUCGAAUCCUCCUUCAUCCG
rnacentral:tRNA from 1 species